CCAAGGCUUCUAUCUUUUAAACAAAAUGACUGACGGAGAUAAGACUGAUCUUUCCGCUGUGACCGAGUUCGACAAGGCUGCUCUCAAGAAGGUCGAAACCGUCGAGAAAACCGCCCUGCCAACGAAGGAAGAUAUCGAAGCCGAGAAAGCCGAAGCCUCAUAAUAUGGGAAUCAUUUUGUGGAGUUAA